rnacentral:rRNA from 1 species
AUGUCUAAAGAGGCAAUAUGCGGCUCCGGUGUGAGCCCCCCCCCCACGGAUGGCAAUGAAAUCGAAGUAAUCCCUCGACGGUUUUGGCGUUGCAUGAAUAUUUCUGAACACUCGGAGCGUGAUAAAUUCAUGAAAUUUUUACACAGUGCAGACACAUGUGAUAUAAUAGGCAUUGCAAUUUCUUAUUUUUUUAAAGAUGCAAGAGUAUGUGAAAAAAAACCACUACGGAUUGUUCUUCGCGUGUCUACGAGUGUGGCCAGGGGCCUUCGGGGGCUAGCUAUGCCACCAAAUCUUGCAUUGGGUCCUCUUACAUGUCUGGAAGUGUGGUGUCAGGUGCAAACACCUGUCAUAUGGCUCCGGAAAUGUGACCCCCUUCAUGGAAGGCGCUGCCGCCGGCACUUGGAGGGAGGAAACGGUCGCGUCAGGUCGACACGAGGGGGAUCCGGUGGUGGGUUGGGCCCAGUGGGGGGCCUUCGGGGGUAG